UACGUAGGGGGCUAGCGUUUGUCCGGAAUCAUUGGGCGUAAAGAGCGUGUAGGCGGCUCGGUAAGUCCGCUCUGAAAGCCCGGGGCUCAACCCCGGGAGGCGGGCGGAUACUGUCGAGCUAGAGUCCGGAAGAGGCGAGUGGAAUUCCUGGUGUAGCGGUGAAAUGCGCAGAUAUCAGGAGGAACACCAAUGGCGAAGGCAGCUCGCUGGGACGGUACUGGACGCUGGAGACGCGAAAGCGUGGGGAGCAAACAGG
rnacentral:rRNA from 1 species